rnacentral:rRNA from 1 species
CGAACGGUAACAGGAAGCAGCUUGCUGCUUCGCUGACGAGUGGCGGACGGGUGAGUAAUGUCUGGGAAGCUGCCUGAUGGAGGGGGAUAACUACUGGAAACGGUAGCUGAUACCGCAUAAUGUCGCAAGACCAAAGAGGGGGACCUUCGGGCCUCUUGCCAUCGGAUGUGCCCAGAUGGGAUUAGCUUGUUGGUGGGGUAACGGCUCACCAAGGCGACGAUCCCUAGCUGGUCUGAGAGGAUGACCAGCCACACUGGAACUGAGACACGGUCCAGACUCCUACGGGAGGCAGCAGUGGGGAAUAUUGCACAAUGGGCGCAAGCCUGAUGCAGCCAUGCCGCGUGUAUGAAGAAGGCCUUCGGGUUGUAAAGUACUUUCAGCGGGGAGGAAGGGAGUAAAGUUAAUACCUUUGCUCAUUGACGUUACCCGCAGAAGAAGCACCGGCUAACUCCGUGCCAGCAGCCGCGGUAAUACGGAGGGUGCAAGCGUUAAUCGGAAUUACUGGGCGUAAAGCGCACGCAGGCGGUUUGUUAAGUCAGAUGUGAAAUCCCCGGGCUCAACCUGGGAACUGCAUCUGAUACUGGCAAGCUUGAGUCUCGUAGAGGGGGGUAGAAUUCCAGGUGUAGCGGUGAAAUGCGUAGAGAUCUGGAGGAAUACCGGUGGCGAAGGCGGCCCCCUGGACGAAGACUGACGCUCAGGUGCGAAAGCGUGGGGAGCAAACAGGAUUAGAUACCCUGGUAGUCCACGCCGUAAACGAUGUCGACUUGGAGGUUGUGCCCUUGAGGCGUGGCUUCCGGAGCUAACGCGUUAAGUCGACCGCCUGGGGAGUACGGCCGCAAGGUUAAAACUCAAAUGAAUUGACGGGGGCCCGCACAAGCGGUGGAGCAUGUGGUUUAAUUCGAUGCAACGCGAAGAACCUUACCUGGUCUUGACAUCCACGGAAGUUUUCAGAGAUGAGAAUGUGCCUUCGGGAACCGUGAGACAGGUGCUGCAUGGCUGUCGUCAGCUCGUGUUGUGAAAUGUUGGGUUAAGUCCCGCAACGAGCGCAACCCUUAUCCUUUGUUGCCAGCGGUCCGGCCGGGAACUCAAAGGAGACUGCCAGUGAUAAACUGGAGGAAGGUGGGGAUGACGUCAAGUCAUCAUGGCCCUUACGACCAGGGCUACACACGUGCUACAAUGGCGCAUACAAAGAGAAGCGACCUCGCGAGAGCAAGCGGACCUCAUAAAGUGCGUCGUAGUCCGGAUUGGAGUCUGCAACUCGACUCCAUGAAGUCGGAAUCGCUAGUAAUCGUGGAUCAGAAUGCCACGGUGAAUACGUUCCCGGGCCUUGUACACACCGCCCGUCACACCAUGGGAGUGGGUUGCAAAAGAAGUAGGUAGCUUAACCUUCGGGAGGGCGCUUACCACUUUGUGAUUCAUGACUGGGGUGAAGUCGUAACAAGGUA